GUGGGGAUAGCUUAGUUGGGAGAGCGUCAGACUAAAGAUCUGAGGGUCGUGUGUUUGAUCCACACUCGCCGCG